CCGAUCCGGGCAGGCGCCAGGAUGGUGCAGGAAGAGCCCCGCUCGCACCCUCCCCCAUCUCACAGCUCUUUGGGCAGAACUGGCCCGGAGCAGGAGGAGCUCAGGAAAUGCGUGGAGGACGAAUGAAUGAAGAUGGCACAGACUCUGGAGCCCAGAAAGUCACCACCGCUCGCCCAGGACUUCUAGUGGGUAGGCAUCAAACUGCAAGUGCGAGAUUCUCUUUCUCAGUGAAGUGAAUUCAACGGUGACCAUGAGUCCUAAAGGCCAGGGGUACGGCGACAGCGACUUGGCAGUGGCAGGGCCACCAUCUUCCGUGUGGUCAUGGACGGAGAAGCUGAGGGAGGCGCGCCCGAUGAGGGGUGGGGGCAGACGGGCCUGUAGCCAGGCUCCUGACUGCUGCCUGCUCCUGACUCUUGGCUGUGGAUUUCUGAAAAUUGUC
rnacentral:lncRNA from 1 species